AAAAAGGCGAUGAAUAGGAAGAGUAAAUCUAAUUCGAUUACCAGAGAGAAGAGUCCGUUGGCUGGAAGACUUUUUAAAUUAGAGGGAUUGAAAACUACCUAGGAGCUACUUUCUGAAGUCAUCUGCAUUAGUAGAUUUUAGUAAGAAUAGUCGUUAGCUGCGUUAAAGUGUAAAGUGAGUUUUCAUGACAUAUGAAAACUAAAUUAGGUGGAACCGCGGGAAUAAUACUCUCGUCCUUAUG
rnacentral:ncRNA from 1 species